AUUGAACGCUGGCGGCAUGCCUUACACAUGCAAGUCGAACGGCAGCGGGGGUAGCUUGCUACCUGCCGGCGAGUGGCGAACGGGUGAGUAAUACAUCGGAACGUGCCCUGUAGUGGGGGAUAACUAGUCGAAAGACUAGCUAAUACCGCAUACGACCUGAGGGUGAAAGUGGGGGACCGCAAGGCCUCAUGCUAUAGGAGCGGCCGAUGUCUGAUUAGCUAGUUGGUGGGGUAAAGGCCCACCAAGGCGACGAUCAGUAGCUGGUCUGAGAGGACGAUCAGCCACACUGGGACUGAGACACGGCCCAGACUCCUACGGGAGGCAGCAGUGGGGAAUUUUGGACAAUGGGGGCAACCCUGAUCCAGCAAUGCCGCGUGUGUGAAGAAGGCCUUCGGGUUGUAAAGCACCUUUAUCCGGAAAGAAAUCGCACUGGUUAAUACCUGGUGUGGAUGACGGUACCGGAAGAAUAAGGACCGGCUAACUACGUGCCAGCCGCCGCGGUAA
rnacentral:rRNA from 1 species